rnacentral:sRNA from 1 species
GAUUUGCGUAAGGGAUGGAAGUGGCAUCCUUUUAUGAAACCCAAUUUUUUGGGCUUCAUAAAAGAUACAACGGACAGCCCGACCCGCA